AUGGACAAGAAUUGUAAAACUGAUUUGGUUGUUAAUAAUAUUAGUGAAGUGUUCAACAAAAUGAUACUUGAUGUGAGAGGGAAACCAAUUAAAACCAUGGUUGAUGGCAUCAGAACAAAAUUGCUAGUUAAGUUCAAUGCCAAUAGGACCAAGACUGAGACAGCCAAGUGGCAGAUAUGCCCAACAUAUGCUGAGAAGUUAGAAGAAGCAAAACACCAUGCUAGAUAUUGUCAGUCAAUCAAAGCAGGACCUGAUCUAUACCAGGUUAGCAGUGGAGAAAGCACAUAUGCAGUAAAUCUGCAAGUGCACACAUGUGAGUGUAGCAAAUGGGACAUGACUGGUGUUCCAUGCAAGCAUGGUGUUUCUGCAAUUAACAAGGCAAAACUUCAUCCAGAAGAUUUUGUUAGUGAUUUCUUCAAGAAACCAAUGUACCAAGCAGCCUACAAUCCAAUUGUGUAUCCUGUGCCUGGGCCUGAUCUAUGGCCAAAUACUGGGACCGCUGACAUAAAGCCACCAGUUUUCAGAGACAAGCCAGGAAAGAAGCAGACUAAGAAGAGAAAGAAUCAGUUUGAGAAGCCAGCUCCCAAAGAUACUUGA
rnacentral:rRNA from 1 species